rnacentral:snRNA from 1 species
ACAACGCUUGGUCAAGUUUAAAU